UACGAAGGGGGCUAGCGUUGCUCGGAAUCACUGGGCGUAAAGGGUGCGUAGGCGGGUCUUUAAGUCAGGGGUGAAAUCCUGGAGCUCAACUCCAGAACUGCCUUUGAUACUGAAGAUCUUGAGUUCGGGAGAGGUGAGUGGAACUGCGAGUGUAGAGGUGAAAUUCGUAGAUAUUCGCAAGAACACCAGUGGCGAAGGCUGCUCACUGGCCCGAUACUGACGCUGAGGCACGAAAGCGUGGGGAGCAAACAGG
rnacentral:rRNA from 1 species